GCGAUGGUCCCAAGCCGGCCAGACCAGUUUGCCGCACACAGAAGAAGAAGUACUAUAGAUGUUAUCGAAGAUCUCCGAUCAAGUUCGCCAACUGUACAAAGAAGCUACCAGUGUUGUCUCGAGUGUCCACCCAACAGUGAUCUGGUGUUUCCUGACCGAGAAAAGCUGCCUUGAGAGAGGAUGAAAAUUCUGACGUUUCUGGUGACAGUAGGUUGGCAGUUAGUGUCAGUGAAUACUUGUCAAUCGACAGGGACGCACUUUCCUGCAUUCUCAGUGCUGAACCACACUCAGGGCUCUACGUUAACACCUAGUGAAUUCCGUGGCAUGGUGUAUAGUGUUCCACAGCCUCCUGGUCAGGGGAGCAAUUAUCAGCAAAGUUUAAAUCUUAGAAGACCUCAACCUAUCAACUCGAAGUACGGUCCUACGGUGCCUGUCUACGCUCGGCCAGUCCCCGAGCCUGAGGUAAUAACUGCUCCCUUGCUGAGAUGUCCUGGAAACCAGAAGCUGGAUCCUACCGGCAAGUGUCGAACACCGGUUCAAGUUAGCCGCCGUUGAUAACAUGAAUGACGGACCAGACGGUAGAAUGGAAGAAUGUAGCGUUAGGUCAUCUCCCGGUACUUAAAGAAGGAUACUUAUCGACUUGAGAUCAGUGUUGCUGUUAACCGUGGAAACAUUGUUCGUUGGAAGAAAAUUAUCGUUUACCAUACGAGAUGAAGAGUUCCUUUUUUAUAUCGUGUGUAUUGCUGAUGUUGGGAUACAUUCAUUCUAAACCAGUUCAGCUUGAUUUGAGAUAUUUACCACCAUCACCACCGUCACCACCACCACCACCACCACCACCACCACUAGAACCUUGGCUAUUUGAUGACAAAAAUCCUCCACCUGCAGCACCAGCCAUAGUUGACACUCCCUAUAGAGAAUGCCCAUCAGGCUAUAAAAGUGAUUCUUCAGGGACGUGUCGAGCUAUCUUGCAGUUAUGAAUUAGGUAUUACUUUAUCAGAGAAACCAAAUCUGGAAAUUGAGGAAGACCAGUUGGGAAAAACACCAUAUGCUGAAUGGAAAUAACGUUUCAAGUGAUCCUACGAUGUAUGUUAGAAACAAAUGCGAGCUUACUUAAAUAAAUCUGAAACUAAAUUUCACUUAAAAAAGAAAA